rnacentral:rRNA from 1 species
AUUGAACGCUGGCGGAAUGCUUUACACAUGCAAGUCGAACGGCAGCACGGACUUCGGUCUGGUGGCGAGUGGCGAACGGGUGAGUAAUGUAUCGGAACGUGCCCAGUCGUGGGGGAUAACGUAGUGAAAAUUACGCUAAUACCGCAUACGAUCUAUGGAUGAAAGCGGGGGAUCGCAAGACCUCGCGCGAUUGGAGCGGCCGAUAUCAGAUUAGGUAGUUGGUGGGGUAAAGGCACACCAAGCAAACGAUCUGUAGCUGGUCUGAGAGGACGACCAGCCACACUGGAACUGAGACACGGUCCAUAAUCCUACGGGAGGCAGCAGUGGGGAAUUUUGGACAAUGGGCGAAAGCCUGAUCCAGCCAUUCCGCGUGCAGGAUGAAGGCCCUCGGGUUGUAAACUGCUUUUGUACAGAACGAAAAGGUUUCUACUAAUACUAGGAGCUCAUGACGGUACUGUAAGAAUAAGCACCGGCUAACUACGUGCCAGCCGCCGCGGUAA